ACAGGACUCAGACGCAGAGAAGUUACUCACAGAGAUUUAUUCAGGCAACCAAGUAACCUCUUCGCUUCGUGCCAAACAAACAGGCUAUGAGACUUACACUAUACUCAGAACAGGGAAUCUCUAUCGAUAAAUAUAUAAGUAUGAAAAUAAACAAGAAAACAGAAAACGCUCUAAAUGAGGUUAACAAACAAAUCUCUACAGCUAUAGACAAAGAAAACAAAAACGCUCCCGGAGGAGGAAGAAAACAAUGAUUCUAACAAAUUAAACAAGCAAACAGAAAAUCACUCGUAAUCAAUGAAAACAACACGGCUAAGCUAUACUUAUUGUGGCAGGAUAGGGCUGCGCUCCCUACCGUGAGGGGCGGUGUGGCAGACAAUUUGCAAGCGAUCGCCUAUAAAUAGACCAGGUGGGACCCUUCCUCGCCCUUUCCGUUUCCUCUUCCUCCUUCACGGAGCCGACAGCGUGUGUGGCGGUGCCACGCUGGUUUGCAGGUUCGAUCUCAAAAUAAGCGUGCUGUUACUGGAGCCGGGCUGUCUCCCUCAGGCUGGUGUGCGUGUGGUGCGCUCUCUGCGGGUAAGACGCUUAGUUGUCUGCUGCUUAUAUUGAGCUGCUGAUGGUCUGGUGAGGUGUAUUAAUCACUGUUCUCCCCCAGCCAUCGCUGGUAGAGUCUGGGCUGCGGGUUUCCUCCUCCUGCCGCUGGGACACCCUGAUCCUGCUCUCCGUGUGCGGCCGUCACUCGCCGCUGUGAGCCUCGCUGCUGUCUUGGCUCUUUCUUUCUCUCUCUCUCUCUCCGUUUUGGCUCCUGUCUCAGCUUUUUUUUUGGUUUGGUUCCCUCUCUCUUCUCUCCUCAGGUGGACAUACUUCCCUUGGUUUGGCUCGUUUGGGAACUCCAACUGCCGUAACUCGGCGCUCUGGUCCAGCCGUCAUCUGACUCUUUUAUCUGGCCCCGUUAAUUGUGACCAAGGCUGCCGUAAUACAGCCUGGACAAAAAUUGCCGACGUGAGCCGAAAGAGGGCGUUCCGCCCCUCGUGGACACCAAGCCGUCUCCUCUAAAGACUGCUUUUAAUUAAUUUAAAGUAGCAGACAUUUGUUUGCCUGAGUUUAUUUCUUUUCUGUUAUUUCUUUUGGUCAGUUUCUGGGAUAUUGGGGUUAUGGUUUAGAAAUCUUUGUUUCUCUUGAUUUUGAUAAUUUGUGAUUUAGUGUAGUUUUUCUUGUGCUUUGGGGUAUUUGGUAUGUUUGGGUUAUGUUGUAUGUGAGGACUGCCUUGAUUUUAUGGUUUUAAUGUUUUUUUCUGUUGACAGGUGCUGAGGCCCAGUGCAGCAGCGGUUCCCCUGGUGGUGGUUCCUUUUCACUUUUUGGUUUGCUGUGUCACGGGUGCAGUGUAGUUUUGGAUCCCUCCCUUUUUUGUUACCGCUGUCGUGGUAAGCCCCAGCCCUGUCCCUCAUUUCUUUUUGGUGGUUCCUCACAUCACUCCUUACCAUUAUUACAUUAUUUGGAUUUAUUUAGUCUGUGCUCAUUUUGAUAAUUGUUAAUAAACCUGUGAUCUUUAUAAUUGGAAAUCACGCUCUUGUCCCGUGGAGUUCUUGAACUGCGUGCCCUUGUUUCGAAUUGAAAGCUGGUAGCUUGAAUCCUGUAUAUCUUGGGGUGAAAGUCCCCAGGUGGCGUUGUCUGCAACUUUCAUAUAACCGCUCGCCUUGCCACAGUAUGAAAAGAAAAACAGAAAACUAGAUUAUCAAAGUUACAAACAAAAAACACUCACGAAGAGGAACAAGGCUUACGAGAAAUAAUGCUGUGGCAAUGGCAAUGGGGAAAAGCGGGCUCGGGUCAAUCAACCUUCGGACAAAGACACACUGACCCAAGACAAGGGAGACGCAGACUAUUAAACACAUGGAGGGUAAUCAGAACAGGUGGAGACAACAGGUGAUCGGGGCGGACACACGGGACACAUGAGGAAGGGCAAGUGCUCUGAAACGAGAGGAGGACAUAGGAACCUGCUUGCUCUUCUGCAGGCGGUUAAACUGGUUCAACUGGUUAAAGACACUGUGGGAGAGCACCCUGAGCUUUACAGCCCUUCACAGUUACAAAUAUGAGUGUGGAACAUGCAUCCACUUUCACUUUCACUCUAGCUGUUGUUUCUUGGAAAGGGUGUGUGUAGUGAAGGCUCAUGUUGGACUUUAGAUUUAGACUUGUUAGAUUUGUUUUGUGGUUCGGUUCUUGUGUUCUCGCCCUGACCUUGAUGGUAGAAUUUAUUAUUUUUAUUCAUUUAUUUUCAUUGAUGUGAAAUAUGCAGUAUUAAUGCAAUUCUUAUAUUCUUCGUUGAGAAUUAAUUUGUCCCAUGUUUCUGCUGUAUUUGAACGUUACACGUAGUUUUGCCAUGUUACGCCUGUUGCAUUGUGGGAUUAGGCUCGCGCUCUCUCAAGUUCGCGGGGAAUGAAUGAACAGAGCGAGAGCAUAGACGGGAGAGAGAAAGUAUAAAUCGUGUUUCGUAACUGUUUCUUUAUUUUAGUGUGGUCAGUGACCGUAGCAGUGCUGUAUGAAUCACUUUUCGUUAUGUUUAAUUAAUAGUAAAGUAUUUUAGUGUGUGUUCGUGAAGACGAAGCGAAGGACUGUUGCUAGCUAACUAAGGGAGGUUAGCUCAGGUCGUCUGCUGCUGUUAAGGAGGACCGAAGUUUCGCUGCUAACUGGCUAGCGGCGUUGGUUCGUGGCGUCGGUUGCUGUUGGCGAGGACCGGAGGUCUGUUGCUGGCUAACUAGGACUGUUAGCCAGUAUCAUCGGCCGUAGUCUACUGGACCAAAGUAACGAAUGACGGUCCGUGUUUUCGGCGGACAUCGUCACCGUUGUUGAAGUCAUUGCUUCUUCGAGACAUCGGCGCCCCGCCCCCCUCUGCUUCGGUCUCACUCGCUGACAGUCACUUGCACAGCAGCUGUUUCUCGUCCUCAUCGCGCCCUUCUACCUCCAGGACACACCCCCCCCCCCCAAAGAGCUCCACACGGCCACAACGGUACCAUUUAGUUAGUUAGGGAAAUACAUUACGGUUAGUUAGACAGGAAUUAUAUUAUUUUUUGAUUGUUUAUAUGACUGUUGUAUGUAUUGUGUUCUGCUUUGUGUUACAUAAAUAAUUGUUUGAAAUUACA